rfam:Eubacterium sp. CAG:156 genomic scaffold, scf101
UAGAAGAGAAAACAAAAUGAAUGAAUUUCAUUUUUCUAUAAAUGUUUUCGACGAGUAGCCGCCGACCAAAGGGAGGGGCAAUACAGAUU